UAAAGCUAGAGUCUUUACAUGAUUAGAUAACGCUUUAUCACUACACUAACAAAGCUGGAGCCGAGGGAAUAGGCAAAAGCAAAGUUAUUAAAGGAUCUUUUGGUAUCUUUUCCGGCACAGGAGUGUAUUUUACAUCUAUCGCUCCAAACAAUAAUCCUGAGUUAAUUCUUCUCAACAACUACGAUGACGCAGGYMAUGUGACAAACAGCAAGAGGUUGUGGGCCAAGAUAGAAUGGGUAGUUGAAGUUACCAUUCCAGUUUCUGAUGUGGAAAAAGUMGRRGGACAAGACAACCGUGAUAUCUAUYUCUACCSUGGAGAUGUGAACCUCACUAAUCUGCAGUACGACAUUUAUCCAAACCCUUAUUGAAUGCUUGACUGUGAUUAAAUGACUGACACCAAGGAUCUCUGCUAAUUCUCGAACCUUUUGCAUCACUUGGUCACGUGGUACAAAAUCCGCCAUAUUGGAUGGCAAUUUCUAACAUGUGACCAAGUGAUACAAGUAGGCCUGUCCCAUUCAUUUCUUAGAAAAAAAAUCCAGUGUUUUUAACGAGCUGUAUUUCUAUUGUUCACCUUUUUAUCUGAUAAAAACCGAUAUUUCUAUGUAAGUCAUCCUCACCGUCUUGUUAAUAAAGAGUUGCACCUUGUAUUGGUAAA